UGAGAUAUUGACAAAGAAGGAUAUUAUCUAAAAAUAUUAAAUAUUUUUUAAGUCUGUAGCUGAAAUAAUAGCCAGAGAAAAAAUUAUCUGUAAUAUUAGGGAAAUACCAUGUAUUCAGACAGAGGAGCCCAGAGAACAGAGAAGAUGGGUGGGAUGACCCUAAAGAAAGAUGGGAAGAAAAAGCCCCCACGCUAAUUAAGGAUUCAACAGCUGAGACAGCCCUUGUACGUCCACAGCUGUCAUGUGAAAUGCUUGUCCAAUCCUAGUUGGAAGGAGGACACAGAGCAAGUACCCUCCCACGUGGAGAACUCUAUAGGCUGAUUCCAUCAGGGAAUUCCACGAGGAACACCUCUGUCUGUUAGGCCAUCAGUACGGAAGCCCCAGAGAAUGGCUCUAAAUUGUUGGACCAUCCAUGAGGAUGCUGGUCCUCACAGUCAGGCUUCAGGAGAGAUCGUAUGAUGUCUUUUCCUUGUGCGUCCUCAUAUGCUGUUUUUGUAGUUUGUCUCCAGGUAAAUAAAGAUCCCACAUUUGUGGAUAGAGCCAGGCAAUUGCUUCUUAAUAUGAAGUUUCGCCAAUCCAGAAAGCAGACCUUAGUUUUGGCAAUUGAAGCUCUUUAAAGCUAUACUACUAAAUUACAGAGGAGUUACUUAAAUCAAUAUGACAUUGAAGAAGGUUGGAGUGGAAAAAUAACAUACAGCUAUUUGUGAUGAGAUGUGAAAUACCCAGAAGGCCUCCAAGUAAUAUCAGGGAAAGACUUCCUUGUGCUGGAGAAGAUUGAUUCAAGUGAUUGUGAUCUUUAGUAGAAGGUAAAGGGAAAUUUGUGUUAUUGUUGGUGGACCGCCUUUGUAUCCAUGAGCCAGUGACACUUGCGAAAAUUCUAGUCGUUAUUUUCAUUGUGG
rnacentral:lncRNA from 1 species